CCGCGGUCUGGGCGGCAGCCUGCUGCAUUUCCUUGACAGCGGGCAGGCCGAUGUCUGGUCGGCGGAGUUCGAAACCCUGGCCGCGGC
rnacentral:tRNA from 1 species